CUCCUUCUGGACCAUGGUUGACACAGAUAACUGAAACUGUGGAAAGAAAACUUGCAGGGAAGACUAUUAUAUCACCAAUAAAUUCUAGGCCAGUUUUGACCACCCGCUCUAGCCUCUUAAAGAAACAAAGAUGGUGAUGAAGGAGGAGCAAGCUGCAGCCAUUUAUGAGAAGUUCAGAGGCAUUUUUUUACCUCAUGUAAAGAUCAUAACACAGUGUAACCAUGGCCCCAACCUUUCAUGCUCUGCUGAAAGUGGAAGCAGCUUGCUGGGAAAUACAGCCCAAAGUCAAGGUGGAGGAGGUGAAGACAAAUGUUGGAAAUGAACAACCAGUAGUUUUCAUGUCCUGCAGAGAAGGUGGGCCUUC